AUGCUCUGGUUUCUUUUCAUAAUGCAUUCAUCUUUUGCCUUUUACUAAAGAUUUCCAUGGAGAGGAACAAUUAUGAGUUUAUAACUGAAUUUUUUGAUGUCCUGCUUGGCAGGCUA
rnacentral:snRNA from 1 species